GUUUUAUACCGUACAGUAGAGUUUAUAAUGUAUAUUAUACCAUCCACCUCCUCUGUGUAUAGUAUAAGGAUAUAAGUAAAGCCCCAAGGAGAAAUUAUGCUUUUGUUCAUGGAGAGACAGUAAAGAAGAAAAUUUUUUGGAUUUUGGUUCGAACUUCCUUAAGAGGACAUAAGGACGUCCAUUGAUUGGGGAUUAAUAAACCCUUGUGCCACCUUGUGCGGUUUUCGAGGACUCUGCAAAAGGGUGUAGCAUUCAAAGUAGGAGGAUGGUGGAGGCAGGAAGAGAGGAAAGUGGGGAUCAGCAAGUUGGUAUAUGAAGGGAGCGCUAAGUCAUUCAUCAUCUGAAUAUAUAGAGGUAAGGGAAGCACAGGAGAGAGAAAUAUAGACAGAGAAGGAAAUAGAGAGCGAGAGAGAAAUAG